GGCCAGUAACGUUUUGAGCACCCUGGCCACAAUGCAGCAAAGCACUCAAGCACCUGCUACCUUUAAAUGUGUGAGGAGUCCCACUGAAGUCAGUGGUUAAAGCUAAGCAUAAAUUGAGUACUUUGCCAGAUUGGAGCCAGAGCACUCAGCACCUUGAAGAGUACAGUGCCUGGAAUACUGUGUUUGCUUUGGGCCACUCUGUUUUGAAUCAGAUAGAGCAGAACCAGAGAAAUCUUAGCAAAGGCUCAGAGAUGGAGGAUGAAAAUUAUAAGGGACCUGGAAAAAAUUAUACCUGGAGAUAGUGUGAUAAGAUUGGGACAGUUUGGUUUAGUGAAAGAUGAAUACGAGGAGACAUGACAAAUAUAUAAAACAAUGACUGGUAUAAAGAAGAUAAAUAAGGAACUCCUUUUUACCCUUCUCAUAACCAGGGAUCCUAGAAAUCUGUUUGACACAGAAAAAAGCAAAAUUUAUGUUUUUACAGAGAAUCUGUAGUUUUUACAUUUUGUGGAAAAAAUAAAAAACAUAUGCAGUAGAAACCCUUGCCACCAACAUGCACGCAGGAAUAUGUGAUAUUGACGCUUCAGCCCCGGGUGGCAGGGGUCCAGCUGACAGCCCCACAUGGUGGGGCUCCCGCUGUCAGAUUUCAUUUUAAUCAUGGAAAAACAUGGAUUUUUAUGGUUUUUUAUCAGAGAAUCUUGGGAUUUUUAUCACAAAAAACUAGGAUCCCUGCUCAUAACACAGGAAACAAGGGGACAUUAAAAGAAACUGAAAUGCAACAAAUUUAAAACUGAUCAAAGGAAAUGAUUUUUUUACACAAAAUAUACUUCACCUUUGGAACUUACUGUCAGUGGGUGACACUGAGGCCAAGAACUUAAAGUGAACAUCCACAGUUCCAUUAGACAGCUAUCAUGGUUCAGGGCUAGCUGCAUCUUUGUCCCCUUUCUGGUCUCUGAGUGCACCACUUAGUGUCAGGCCUUAAGGGUUUACCUCUACUGGGGAGGAAUUAAAAAAUUCUCCUUCUCUUUGGCCCUGGGCUUGAGUAGCCUGUGUGGUUUUUUUCCUUCAGGAGCAUAUGACCAGUGGUGUCUAUGGUGACCAGAUGCACGUUUUUCUUACCUAAAGAUUUGUAAUAAUUAUUUGUAUUACAGUAGUGUGUAGAAUCCCUAGUCCUGGAUCAGGACCCCAUUGUCCUAGAUGUGAUACCAACACUGUCCAGAAAGACAGUGUCUGUCCAAAGAGCUUACUAUCCAAGACAACAGAGAAUAGGUGGAUAAAGAUAGAUAAGGGAGUACAAAGAAACAGUGAGACAGUAUUGGUCAGCAUGAUAGGCAAUGGCCUCAGCAUAACAGCAACUUAACCAUAAUCAAGUUUUUUGUAGGCAUCAUGGAAAAGGGAAGUUUUGAGGAGGGUUUUGAAAGAGGAUAAUCAGUUACCAUCCUUUGAGGGUGACUAGGCAAGUCUAACUUCUUCAGACACCACCACCCCCAGUAGCAUCUUGUGUCAGUCUGGUCCCCGCAAAAAACUCCCUCCAAGAGUACUCCCCCACCCGCUUUUGAAAGAGAAUCCCCUUUUACAUGGCUAGAGUCCUUUUGAUCUUCUGGUUCCCAGGCCUUUUCUAGUCCUGGCAUUGUCUCUCAAGUGUUUGCUGAAAAAUGGCUUAUCUUGAGCUAUUUUUCUCCCCUUCCUGCUUGUUUUCUUUACAGUCCCCCCAUUAAACUAAACCAGUAUAUUAAUUCAGUAAACAUCCCAAUAAACAGGUCAACAUACAAUAUUAAUACAUUAUUACAGGGCAGCUCCCCUUUCAUCCAGAGCCGCCCAGAGGAUUCAGGGGGCCUGGGGUCUUUGGUGGCGGGGGUCCUUCCGCUCCGGAUGUGUUCAGCGGCACUGAAGGACCCGCUGCUGAAGUGCCGCCGAAAACUCUCGUGGGGCCCUGCGGGGAUUGGGACAAAUUGCCCCACUUGCCCCCCCUCUGGGGGCCCUGCUUUCAUCACAACAGAAUUUUACAAAACAUAGACGGAAUAUGCCCUCUCAUUUCAGACAUAAAAUAAUCAUUAACAGACAGGGGUAAGGAAGAAACUUCUCUAUGGGCAGCUUAUUCCACAAUUGUCCACUGGGAGGUUUCUUGAAUCUUCCCGAGCCCUCAGGUACUGGCUAUUGUCAGAGACAGGAUGCUGGACGGGAUGGACCACUGGUCUGACCUGGCAAUGCAUGUUUCUGUUUCCUCUUUCAAUGUGUGUUUGAAGAGAGGUGUUUGGAGAACUGUGUCUCCUAGUGGUGGGUCCUUGCUGUCCAAGAUGAAUACACUGUGUCUUGAGAUGAAUUGACAGAGCUGUGCAAGUACCUCAAAACUAGACACACAUGGAAUUCUGCAAAUCAAGAGUUAGAUGCAUUUGGCAGAGCAGUUGGUGGGCCUCAGGUCAAGAACACCAAGGAGUGCUGUAAAUCAAGAAUGGCUGAAGCUUACCUACUGUCUUCCAAUAUCAUGCUGUUCUCUUGCCAGUGCUAUCAGUCCCUAACUCUGAUAAGAACACAAUUACAGUCAUUUUAUUGGACCUCCCAGUUCUGAUAUGGAAUGUUUGGACCAUAAUACUACAAUUUUAAAAUUAUGGGAGAUAAAAAACAAAAU